UUCGCCCUUAGAGUUUGAUCCUGGCUCAGGACGAACGCUGGCGGCGUGCUUAACACAUGCAAGUCGAGCGGAGAUUGCGGAGGCUUCGGCGGAAGUAAUCUUAGCGGCGGACGGGUGAGUAACGCGUGAACAAUCUGUCCCAUACAGGGGGAUAACACUUGGAAACAGGUGCUAAUACCGCAUAAGACCACGACCCCGCAUGAGGUUGAGGUAAAAGGAGCGAUCCGGUAUGGGGUGAGUUCGCGUCCGAUUAGCUAGUUGGCGAGGUAACGGCCCACCAAGGCGACGAUCGGUAGCCGACCUGAGAGGGUGAUCGGCCACAUUGGAACUGAGAGACGGUCCAAACUCCUACGGGAGGCAGCAGUGGGGAAUAUUGGGCAAUGGGCGAAAGCCUGACCCAGCAACGCCGCGUGAGUGAAGAAGGCUUUCGGGUUGUAAAGCUCUGUUGGCAGGGACGAAGGAAGUGACGGUACCUGCCAAGGAAGCCCCGGCUAACUACGUGCCAGCAGCCGCGGUAAUACGUAGGGGGCGAGCGUUGUCCGGAAUGACUGGGCGUAAAGGGCGUGUAGGCGGCCGAUUAAGUCCGGAGUGAAAGUCCUGCUUUCAAGGUGGGAAUUGCUUUGGAGACUGGUUGGCUUGAGUGCGGAAGAGGUAAGUGGAAUUCCCAGUGUAGCGGUGAAAUGCGUAGAGAUUGGGAGGAACACCAGUGGCGAAGGCGACUUACUGGGCCGUAACUGACGCUGAGGCGCGAAAGCGUGGGGAGCGAACAGGAUUAGAUACCCUGGUAGUCCACGCUGUAAACGAUGAAUGCUAGGUGUUGCGGGUAUCGACCCCUGCAGUGCCGCAGUAAACACAAUAAGCAUUCCGCCUGGGGAGUACGGCCGCAAGGUUGAAACUCAAAGGAAUUGACGGGGGCCCGCACAAGCAGCGGAGCAUGUUGUUUAAUUCGAAGCAACGCGAAGAACCUUACCAUGUCUUGACAUCGAGGAAAAGCCUAAGAGAUUAGGUCAGGCUUCGGCCAUCCGAAGACAGGUGGUGCAUGGUUGUCGUCAGCUCGUGUCGUGAGAUGUUGGGUUAAGUCUCGCAACGAGCGCAACCCUUAUGGUCAGUUACUAACGCGUGAAGGCGAGGACUCUGACAAGACUGCCGGGGACAACUCGGAGGAAGGUGGGGACGACGUCAAAUCAUCAUGCCCCUUAUGACAUGGGCUACAAACGUGCUACAAUGGUGACUACAAAGAGCAGCGAGCUCGUAAGGGUAAGCGAAUCUCAAAAAAGUCAUCUCAGUUCGGAUUGUGGGCUGCAACCCGCCCACAUGAAGUUGGAGUUGCUAGUAAUCGCGGAUCAGCAUGCCGCGGUGAAUACGUUCCCGGGCCUUGCACACACCGCCGGUCA
rnacentral:rRNA from 1 species